rnacentral:rRNA from 1 species
AGCUAUGUGUGGACGGGAUAAGUGCUGAAAGCAUCUAAGCAUGAAGCCCCCCUCAAGAUGAGAUUUCCCAUUACGCAAGUAAGUAAGAUCCCUCAAAGACGAUGAGGUAGAUAGGUUCGAGGUGGAAGUGUGGUGACACAUGGAGCUGACGAAUACUAAUCGAUCGAGGACUUAACCAAAA